rnacentral:rRNA from 1 species
UACGGGGGGGGCAAGCGUUGUUCGGAAUUACUGGGCGUAAAGGGCUCGUAGGCGGCCAACUAAGUCAGACGUGAAAUCCCUCGGCUUAACCGGGGAACUGCGUCUGAUACUGGAUGGCUUGAGUUUGGGAGAGGGAUGCGGAAUUCCGGGUGUAGUGGUGAAAUGCGUACGAGAUCCGGGAAGGAACCCACCGAGGCGAAGGCGGCGUCUG